rnacentral:rRNA from 1 species
CCUACGGGAGGCAGCAGUGAGGAAUAUUGGUCAAUGGACGAGAGUCUGAACCAGCCAAGUAGCGUGAAGGAUGACUGCCCUAUGGGUUGUAAACUUCUUUUAUAUGGGAAUAAACAGUUCACCGUGUGGGAUUUUGUCUGUACCAUAUGAAUAAGGAUCGGCUAACUCCGUGCCAGCAGCCGCGGUAAUACGGAGGAUCCGAGGGUUAGCCGGAUUGAUUGGGUUUAACGGGAGCGUAGGUGGAUUGUUAAGUCAGUUGUGAAAGGUUGCGGCUCAACCGUAAAAUUGCAGUUGAAACUGGCAAUCUUGAGUACAGUAGAGGUGGGCGGAAUUCGUGGUGUAGCGGUGAAAUGCUUAGAUAUCACGAAGAACUCCGAUUGCGAAGGCAGCUCACUGGACUGCAACUGACACUGAGGCUCGAAAGUGUGGGUAUCAAACAGGAUUAGAUACCCGAGUAGUC